GGAUCAUUAAAGAGUUUAACAAAACUCCUAAACCCCUGUGAACUUACUAGGUUGGAUUCUCGCCAGAGAUAGUCUGGUUUCUGCUUCGCGGAUCGCCUGCCCGUGACACCCUGUCACAGGCAGGUACGCUUCUGCCGCGGGGCCGCAGGUAAAUCGUCUGGUUUCUGCAAACGGAUCGCCUGUCCGUGACACCCUGUCACAGGCAGGUAUGCUUCUGUAGCGGGGCCGCAGGCAAAUCGUCUGUUCCACAAGGCCAGCCUAGUGGAUGGCGAUUUACCUGUGGAAGAGAUCCUCUAACUAUAUUCUUAUUAUAAAAUCUGUGAACUUACAUGGUUUGACGCGGCAGAUAGCGCAUACCUCGCGAGACCCCACUCUGGGGAACUCGCAGAGUAGGCGCAGGUCUGUCUUUCCAUAUUCGUAAGGCUCUCUCUCUAUUUUAUUAGAGAGCAGCCUACGCAGUGGACACAGUUAGUUACCUUAUACGUCGCGAGAUCGCAAGCGUUAUUGUGUAAAUACUGUGGAGGUCACCUAACCUUGUCUAUUUAGGUUUGGUUUAUCUGUUUGUUCACCAGAUCAAACACUCUGAAUAAAAUCUUAAACUAGUUAAAACUUUCAACAACGGAUCUCUUGGUUCUGGCAUCGAUGAAGAACGCAGCGAAAUGCGAUAAGUAAUGUGAAUUGCAGAAUUCAGUGAAUCAUCGAAUCUUUGAACGCACAUUGCGCCCAUUAGUAUUCUAGUGGGCAUGCCUGUUCGAGCGUCAUUUCAACCCUUAAGCCCCUGUUGCUUAGCGUUGGGAGCCUACGGCCUGCUGUAGCUCCUUAAAGGUAGUGGCGGAGUCGGUUCACACUCUAGACGUAGUAAAAUCUUUAUCUCGCCUAUAGAUGAGCCGGCGCCUUGCCGUAAAACCCCUAAUCUUUCACAAGGUUGACCUCGGAUCAGGUAGGAAUACCCGCUGAACUUAAGCAUAUCAAUAAGCGGAGGAAAAGAAACCAACAGGGAUUGCCCUAGUAACGGCGAGUGAAGCGGCAACAGCUCAAAUUUGAAAUCUGGCCUUCGGGUCCGAGUUGUAAUUUGUAGAGGAUGCUUUGGGCGCGGUGCCUUCCGAGUUCCCUGGAACGGGACGCCUUAGAGGGUGAGAGCCCCGUACGGUUGGACACCAAGCCUCUGUAAAGCUCCUUCGACGAGUCGAGUAGUUUGGGAAUGCUGCUCUAAAUGGGAGGUAAAUUUCUUCUAAAGCUAAAUAUUGGCCAGAGACCGAUAGCGCACAAGUAGAGUGAUCGAAAGAUGAAAAGCACUUUGAAAAGAGGGUUAAAUAGCACGUGAAAUUGUUGAAAGGGAAGCGUUUGCGACCAGACCUUUUCCCAGCGGAUCAUCCGGUGUUCUCACCGGUGCACUUCGCUGGGUUGAGGCCAGCAUCGGUUUUCGCAGGGGGAUAAAAGCCUGGGGAACGUAGCUCCCUCGGGAGUGUUAUAGCCCCUCGCAUAAUACCCUUGCGGGGACCGAGGACCGCG
rnacentral:rRNA from 1 species